CGGGUGCGUAACGCGUAUGCAACCUACCCACAACUGGGGGAUAGCCCGGAGAAAUUCGGAUUAAUACCCCAUAAUGCAUUGAUACCGCAUGGUAUUAAUUGCUAAAGAUUUAUCGGUUGUGGAUGGGCAUGCGUCUGAUUAGUUAGUUGGUGAGGUAACGGCUCACCAAGGCAACGAUCAGUAGGGGGUCUGAGAGGAUGAUCCCCCACACUGGUACUGAGAUACGGACCAG
rnacentral:rRNA from 1 species